rnacentral:rRNA from 1 species
UACGAAGGGGGCUAGCGUUGCUCGGAAUCACUGGGCGUAAAGCGCACGUAGGCGGCUUGUUAAGUCAGGGGUGAAAUCCUGGAGCUCAACUCCAGAACUGCCUUUGAUACUGGCGAGCUUGAGUCCGGGAGAGGUGAGUGGAACUGCGAGUGUAGAGGUGAAAUUCGUAGAUAUUCGCAAGAACACCAGUGGCGAAGGCGGCUCACUGGCCCGGUACUGACGCUGAGGUGCGAAAGCGUGGGGAGCAGACAGG